AUGGUGUUAAACCCACAAAUCCUUUGCUGGAACGUGCGUGGCCUCAACAAUCUAGCGAAGAAGAAGGAGGUUAGGGAAUUCGUGUCGUCGGUGAUAGUUAACCUAGUUUGCUUAGAAGAAACAAAACUUGAUGUAAUCGAUCCUUUCAUAGUUAUGCAAUGUGUUGGCCCGUCGCUUGACGGCUUUGCGUAUCUUCCGGCUAAGGAGACUCGUGGUGGUAUCCUUUUGGCUUGGGACACGACCAUUAUGGGGGUUGACAAUGUUGUGCUAGAUAACAAUUCCAUCACUGGGCUAGUGCACAACAAGGACGACUCCUCUUGGUGGAUCUCGGUGGUCUAUGGGCCACAAGAUGACGAGCUUAAAUCCUAG
rnacentral:rRNA from 1 species